CCAAUAGCGUAUAUUAAAGUUGUUGCAGUUAAAAAGCUCGUAGUUGAAUUUCGGGGUUAGUAGGUCGGUCAUGCCACUGGUAUGUACUGGUCUCACUGAUUCCUCCUUCCUGAUGAGCCGUAAUGCCAUUAAUUUGGUGUUGCGGGGAGACUGGACUGUCACUUUGAAAAAAUUAGAGUGUUUAAAGCAGGCUAACGCUUGAAUACAUUAGCAUGGAAUAAUGAAAUAGGACGUUCGAUCCUAUUUUGUUGGUUUCUAGGAUUGACGUAAUGAUUAAUAGGGAUAGUUGGGGGCAUUAGUAUUCAAUUGUCAGAGGUGAAAUUCUUGGAUUUAUUGAAGACUAACUACUGCGAAAGCAUUUGCCAAGGAUGUUUUCAUUAAUCAAGAACGAAAGUUAGGGGAUCGAAGACGAUCAGAUACCGUCGUAGUCUUAACCAUAAACUAUGCCGACUAGGGAUCGGAUGAUGUUAAUUUUUUAAUGACUCAUUCGGCGCCUUACG
rnacentral:rRNA from 1 species